rnacentral:lncRNA from 1 species
GUGCCACAGACCUCUACCCCUGCGUGGUGUAUGACCGUGGGCCCGAGAGCCCUCUUGAAUAAGUUUGCAGUAAGACCGUUUCUUGUGUGAUUUGGGGUGUCGCCUCUCCUGAGUCAGAACGUGGGGGAGUCCUCACGUUGUGGGUCUUUCAUAGCCAGUCUGAUAGAGUUGCUAUCCAGCCAUAAUUCUUGAAAUGGAUAAGUGGCGUAAUGUCAAACGUAUCCAGAGUCUGGGCCAGGAAAAAAUGAAAAGGUACAUGAAGAUACACGUGGAUAGAACAAGAGCAAUUCCUAAAGAACAAGGAUAGGGCUCUCAUAGUUUUAUUAAAAGCAUGCUGGUAAUUUAGAUGCCAUGGUUUCUGCAGGGGACACAGUUAGAAGACAAUAGUCUUUAAUAUUCUGACUUGGGGAUAUACCAGCAUUCCGGGUCAUAAUCCGGGCAGUGAAGUCAAUUUGGCUUGCUGUCUUCCAUAUCUACAUUUUGCUUUAUUUUGAAAGAUAGAAGAUGAGAAACAGAAGUAGGUAGGUAUCAAAUAUGGCGGUAGAGGGACUGGGGGUGUUUACCCAUUAGUGACUUUAAGCUAAAAAUGGCUUUAGGCUUCCACUUUAGAGUGGAAGUCUGAAGAACAAGAGAUGAAGGAAGGCACAGACCAGGUCUUGAAAAAUGAUCCUGAAUGAGCUAUCCCAUUCCCAAUGGAAAGAAGUGAAAUUAGAGCACAUUAAAUGAUCUUAGAUUUAUUUUAUUAUAUGUGCAUAUUCAAACACAGAAAUCAUUAGCUUUCAUAAAUAUCUUUCAUAAACAUCUCAGUAUUUAUUCAGAUGCAUUUUCCAUGCUCUUUGGUCAUUCAGUAUUCAUAACAGACUUUAUAGUCAUCUGAAGGAAGUUGGCUGUGUAGUCAAUCCUUUGUCUUCACCUACAAAAUGGCUAAUAAAGGACUUUAAUCCCAUGGUCACAGUGACUAUUAAAAAUAUCAUGGAGGUACGUAGAUUUAUGAUCCUAAAUGAUCUUUAAAUAAUAUAAGUAAAUUUAUCAUAAACUUUUCCAAAUACAUUCUGCCCUCUAUUUGUGUUUAUUCUCCUGAGUGUCAGAUCAAAGUUUGCUUCUAAAAUGCUGCAGUUGAGACCCACAAAAAUAAAUGAGGAAGUGGGCUAGUUUACUCACUGCUGAGACACAAGGCCAUGGAUUGGUAGUGUGAGGUCACAGAGUGAAAGUGGGACUCUAUGUGACAGCAGCAAAUUCGGGAAAGUUCUCUGGUAAAGUAUCCUGUGUAACUCAAGGAAGGUACUUAGUUCAUGUUUUGGACUAUAAUUCUAUUCAUUUAUGACCUUUUCUUCCCUAUGGAUCUCAGUACACACUCAAUUAUUUCCUCGGAAACUCUAGGAGUGGGCAGCAAAGUGGAGAAAGUUCUUCACUGACUAAAAGAACAGAUGCUAAAAGAGAGAUGCCAUCCUGGCUUAAGUUACUCUUGGAGGCUUGAAGCAGAAAACCAACAGAUGCCUCCAGCACUGCCAUGUGCCCAGUGGUACCCCUUGACAGUGUUGUUCUCAGUGACUUGUUCCAACGCACUCAGUAACUCACUUCCCUUGUCAUAAGAAUCAAAUAAUCUAAUAGAAUUAUAGAAAACACUGAAUGCUGCGAAUGAAAGAAAAAUGUCUAUUCUAGAAAAUUCUGCAUCCAGGAUUUAAGCUGCUUUAAUCUGGAUAGUACACAUGGGUACUCACUAUCAUGGAUGAUGUAUUUUUAUUUCUCAAGGUUUCUCUAUAAAGUUGCUUUCCAAAGGAGCAAUUUUAAUUGGAUGUAAUUGUUUAAUACCUGGAAAGUGGGUGCCUGUUUUAUCCUUCCUCUGAAUGAGAUAAAUAUUAUUAAGCAUCACAGAUUAAGAUAUAAUCUAAUUUUACUAAUAUAUUGAUCAAAAGUGAUAAUUAGUUCUUGUCACAUUUUUGAAUAUUACAAAAGAUUGUCAAUUAACUUGAACUUUUAUCUUAACUGUUUUCUUUAAGUUAUUCCUUCAAACUCCAGGUAACAGUAUUCCUGAGAAUACAUCUUGUGACAGUCUUAUGCACAUACAUAUACUUUAGUUACCACACAUAAACAUUCAACACGUUUAAGGACACAAUAAAUGGAAUAGAUGAGAAAUCUCAAAAGUCCCAAGACGAGAGCACUCCCACUCUGUAAGUCCCCAUUUCUCAGAGUGGUCAUGUCUUUUCUUUUUUCCAAGAUAAAACAUUACUUAGCUUACUGAAAAAGUUAAUAAUAGACUUCCAUACACGAGAGUGAAGGAGUCAGAUUAAAAGGCAGACAGACCAAUAAAAUCAUUUCUCAAACAGCCCAACACACUUAAAAUAUAUAAAGGUAUUUAGGGUUAUUAUUGAGUAUUUAACAAUUCUUUGACCUCUAUACUUCUUAAAUAUCUGACACAAUUAUAGAGAUUUUGAAUCACAAGUCCAAAAGAGGGAACAAAGCACAGACAUAUAAACGCACACAACUCAGACACUUGUAAUUACCAAACAUAAGGCCUCUAAUGCUAGUUGAGCAGCAUAGUUUUUAACAGGCAAAAUAUAUCAGCUUAGAACCAGAAAACCACUUACAUGUCCACUUUUGCACUUAGAAAUGAACUGCACAUUAAGUAUAAAUGAUGUGAAGGUGUUAUAACACAGAGAAGGUUUGUUUGUCUCCUGGAUUUCCCAUGCAUGUUCUCAGCCAAAAGGCCAAGAAGGUGGUUCUGCCCUGAUUUUCUGACCUGGGGGAUUUUAAAUUUUAUCCUAGUUAACUUAUAGGUUACCUUUCAUUCUCAUGGUGAAUGGGAUCAUAGCCCCAAAAUAUAUUUGAUUUUAUAAGUCACUGUGCUCAUUUAAUAAAUAAUUCUAAC